GAUGCUAUGAUGAGAUUAAACACCAAAAGUGUUUUGAGAGCUAGUGGACAGGACCUCUGUGGUCUUGCUUUGAACCCAUUUAGUCAUAAAUGACUUCUUCUUCCACUGAGCACA